rnacentral:rRNA from 1 species
AUUGUAGUCUGNAACCCGACUACAUGAAGCCGGAAUCGCUAGUAAUCGCGGAUCAGAAUGCCGCGGUGAAUACGUUCCCGGGUCUUGUACACACCGCCCGUCACACCAUGGGAGUCGGAAAUGCCCGAAGCCGGUGACCCAACCCGAAAGGGAGGGAGCCGUCGAAGGCAGGUCGGAUGACUGGGGUGAAGUCGUAACAAGGUAUC